UUCGCAAUGCCCGAAAGGGUGACGAAGCGACGCCGCGUGCGGGAGGAAGGCCUUCGGGUUGUAAACCGCUGUCGGGAGUUAAGAAAUGCAAGGAUGUUAAUAGCGUUCUUGCUUGACUAAGGCUCCGGAGAAAGCCACGGCUAACUCUGUGCCAGCAGCCGCGGUAAUACAGAGGCGGCAAGCGUUGUUCGGAAUUAUUGGGCGUAAAGAGCACGUAGGCGGCUGUGUAAGUCGGUUGUGAAAGCCUUCCGCUCAACGGAAGAACGGCAUCCGAUACUGCAUGGCUUGAGUGUGGGAGGGGAGAGUGGAACUUCUGGUGGAGCGGUGAAAUGCGUAGAUAUCAGAAGGAACACCGGCGGCGAAGGCGACUCUCUGGUCCAUAACUGACGCUGAGUGUGCGAAAGCUAGGGGAGCGAACGGGAUUAGAUACCCCGGUAGUCCUAGCUGUAAACGAUGGGCACUAAGUAGAGGGGUUUU
rnacentral:rRNA from 1 species